rnacentral:lncRNA from 1 species
GAACGCACAUAAUUGACUCCGGCCGCCAGGAUGAGCCUGCUAGUCUGCUGGCAUGAGAAAUCCAGAGUGACAGAGCAGCAGCCAUACUGCAACGUUAAACGGGAAUAUUGCUGCGCCCCAUUGUAGAUGCAUUUCCUUUCUGAGAACCUUGAUCUCUGGACCCACAGAAUUUAAUCUGCAAGGACAAGUUUCCCAAGAAUGGAUCACUGACACCACGUGGGAGACAGCGGGAACUGAGUGCUAUGUUUGGGACCGUUCUCCAGCCUCCCAGAAAUGUAAAGUUGGAUUUUCUAAUAACUUCUAAUCAUGGAAAUCACAUACCCACUAUGUGCUAGACACUAUUGUAGGUACUGGAGAAUGAGAAUAAGCAGCCCUGCCCUCAAGGAGCCUUUUUUCUGGUGUUAGCACAGUGCAUAAGGUGGUGCCUUAAAGACCGACCUAUGACAUGGCGUGGCUGUCCUGAUGACUUGCCUAUUUUACGUCUGACCCAUGCUAGUGUGCACGUUAUUUACAACCAACCAAAUCCUGAUAAAAAUAUCUGUCACUGCAGCUGUGAUUUCACAUCAAAACUUACUGGUAAGAAUUGGGCAUUUAUUCUGUACCUCGUGUGCCAGGCCUGGUGGAGGAUGCCCACAUCCAGCAGAGUCUUAAAGGAAGAAGUGGCCCCCAGCAGCCACAAUGGAGAGCCCUGGUGGAAAGGGGUCGGCCGGCGGGUUCACCCUGCUCCUGGCAGAGUAUGUGCAGGGAAGGCGCUGUGGUGUGCAUCUCUGGGGAUCAGAAUGAUCCUUAUGGGAUUUCUUCAUGUUUCCCAGUAAAUUCUUUUGAAGGAGAACUGCCAUUUCCUUUCUGUUCGUCCUCCUGGACUUGACAAAUCUACAUCAGGCCCCCUAAAGGAUCUCCUCCCUAGGAAUUAGGGGCAGCGCUGGUCCCAUAUUUAAAACUCACCCCUUUGCUUUGGUCUUUCCCCCUGGGGGCCGCUCCUAGGUCUCCCCAGAGAUGUAAGAUGUUGGGGUCACAUUUGGGUUUUGGUAUGAAAACAGAGAGAAAAGCACGCGCCCUGCUUUGGGCCUUGACCCUUCAGGCCCACUCAGCUUAGAGAAGGGGGUUCUUCAUGGGAUCCGGCCCUGCCCUGCAUGGGGUCUGUUAUGGUUUGAGAUCAAAGCCCGCGUGAGUCAUAAACAGUGUGUUGCCUUAUUGUCUGUGAAUGUAUUUCCUUCAGGCGCAUUGAAAGGGGAAAUCACUGAGCAAGGGAUUCGGGUAUUUCUGUUUCCUUGUUGUAAUUCUCUCGUAGACAGUCACCAUUAAUUAUAGCACCAUAUGCUCAAGAGUAGUUACCAAAAAUAAAAAAUUCUUUUCCUCCUCUACAGAAAUUUAUAGUCUAGUUGUGUUACUAAAGAAAUAAACAGACACAGGUAGGUGCUAAGCCACUUCUAAACAAAAUUAAAACAAUAAAUUAAAUAUGUGUGCGUCUCUGUGUAUGCUCGGUCAUAUGCUGCCUACGAUAGCACAUGGUAAGCUUUUAAUAAAUAUUUAUGUAGUGAAAGCAUGCGUUCCUAAUCCAUGUGUUGCUAGGUGUUCUCCUAGAAUACCAAAUAGAAUUAAAAAUAAAGAAAAGCCCCAAAGGGUAAAGUAAAGGAUCGAAAGAUUUGCUGCUGUUGUCCCCAGAAUCAAUGAACAAGAGGAAGAUGCCAAAGGAGAUAACGUAUUAAUUAAUCUCUAAUCAUUAUUUUUUUGUUUUCUAG